UUUUGGGUCCUCAUGGUCAUGGCAGUCUUUACGAAGAACAGGGUUGUUGCCGUGUGCUUGGGGGCUCUCAUGCUCAUGGCGACCCUUGAUCUCUCCUCGGCAGGUUCAGUCUAUGUUGGAUGUUUCGAGCCACACCAGAACUGCUUCCCAGAUGAGUGUCAGAAGACAUGCGUGGACAAUGUUCCUGGAAACAAUCUGAAAGGUUCCUGCGAGCCGGACCAUGGCCCACUAAAACCGUAUCCCGCGGUUCAGUGUUGUUGCUAUAGAGACCCUCCGGUCAUGAGUAACAUGGGCGCUUAA
rnacentral:rRNA from 1 species